GAAAGGGAUAGCAUUGCUCAGCCCCCAUGUCAAAGAGAGGGACCACCAUGCAAGCCAUGCGCCCUGGACAAAGGACCUUAAAGGUACUACACGUACUAACAGUACUGAGAGUCGGGGGAGGAGCCAGCAUCUAGCCUCCUCUUUUCCAACCACUUUUCCUUCCCCCUUUCCUCUCUCUUUUUGUCCUUGUGCACACUGCAGUGAACUUUCGUCCUAAUGACAAACACUCCACUUUUUAGUCCAUAAUCACUGUUCCUACUUCUCCCGAUGGCUGAAUUGCCCCUGGGAAGUCUAUAGUUUGCCCACUAUGCACAUGCCCAGAUCACUGCCAUGGCCAGUUUUGGAGAACAGCAUUUUCUCACAAAGAGGCUCCAUGGGCAGGUGGGACAGUGCAUCUGAAUUCUCCUCCCUAAGGAGGGAACCUAGGGAUACUCACUGGCAGAGGUGUGGGAAGGUGACUGGAGGCUAGGAAGUAGGCGGAGUCUCCGUGUGGGCAAUCUAUCUUCACCAACCUCACAGCUCAGUGGUAUUAAUCUACCCUAUAAAUGGAUGGCUUAAAAAGUCAACUAAAAGCAAGGAACCAAGAGCGGGCGAAGCCAUUAAGUCUUGAGGGAUUAUAUAAGCUUUCCUCAGCCCGACAAGGGUGUGCUGCAGUGAGGCUCAGGCAGGUGUUGGUCGUUAAUCUCUCAGAAGGGCAGUCUCUGAGUUACCCAUGCUGGACUGGAUGGCUGUAUUAUUCCACACAGAGACACGUACUUAGGAAAUCAAUAGUGCUAUAAUAGCAGAACAUGACUAAUGUCCUCUGCCUUUCUUUAAAACCCCUGGCUUCCUGUAAAGGGAGUUUGUGGAGGAAAAUGGCCAAUGCCAGGGUCUUGUCCUCAAUGGCCACAACUGGUACAGGGGCAAGCUCACCUUCAGAAAAUGUGGUCUUCUAGCCCUGAGGAUCACAGACAAUAGAACGGACACCUGCAUGCAGAGGCUUCUGGGAAUCACAGAAUGGUCAGAAUUCUCCAUGCUAUAAGUGGGAGGGAAGAUGCUCAGGGUCUAACAUCAUUAUCACUGGAACAGGUGUGUGCCCCAGCCACAGGGCCAUUGAACAGUGGGCCCAGGCGGACACAAGGAGAGGCGAUCUUGAGAUUGUACCUAUGUGAAGAUCCUGGGAUUCGGUAGAAUUCUAGAGGGUUCCUUCUGAUUUCAUCAUUUCUCUGUUGUUCCUGCUUUCCUUCCUCUCCCCAGUGUGGCCAGAAGCCAAGUGAGCGGACGCAAUUGCUCACAUCUAACCUCUAGGAGGACCGCCAUGUUAUCUGUAAGGCUUCAAGGACUCCAAAACUUGAAUUACCUCUGUGGCUCUCGGGAUGACUUGUGCAUCUGUGGGUAGCUGAGUAUAAAGUUUCAUUUUAAAUUAACAUGCAUAGUCAUUUUACCACAGACCAUCUUAAGAAGACAUGGUUUGCCUGAGAAUCAUGCAUAGGCAAGACCUUCACACCUCAUAGUCCUGCGAUCCUCCAUAAAAGUCAUAAUAAAAAAUGCUGCAGAGUUGUAAUUGGAAGAAUAAUUACCUCCUGACAAGGGGCAGAAGGCAAGAUACCCCCCAACUGGAAUUCUUAAGUUUCAAGAU
rnacentral:lncRNA from 1 species